rnacentral:rRNA from 1 species
AGUGAACGCUGGCGGUAGGCCUAACACAUGCAAGUCGAACGGCAGCACAGUAAGAGCUUGCUCUUACGGGUGGCGAGUGGCGGACGGGUGCGGAAUACAUCGGAAUCUACUUUUUCGUGGGGGCUAACGUAGGGAAACUUACGCUAAUACCGCAUUCGACCUCCGGGUGAAAGCAGGGGAUCUUCGGACCUUGCGCGAUUGAAUGAGCCGAUGUCGGAUUAGCUAGUUGGCGGGGCAAAGGCCCACCAAGGCGACGAUCCGUAGCUGGUCUGAGGGGAAGGUCCGGUACAUGGGAUCUGAGACACGCCCCAGACUCUGGGAGGGGGACACAGUGGAGAAUAUUGGACGAUGGGGGCAAGCCUGAUCCAGCCAUACCGGGUAGAUGAAGACGGCGUUCUGGUUCGAAAGUCAUUUUGUUGGGAGAGAAAAGCAACACUUUAAUACCCCGCUGUUCUGACGGUACCCAAAGAAUAAGCACCGGCUAACUUCGUG